rnacentral:misc_RNA from 1 species
GAUGAAGAACGUAGCGAAAUGCGAUAAGUAAUGUGAAUUGCAGAAUUCAGUGAAUCAUCGAAUCUUUGAACGCACCUUGCACCCUUUGGACUGCUCCAAAGGGUAUGCUCGUUUGAGUGUCAUUGUACUCUCACACUCUCUGAUCCUUUGGAUUUGGGGAGCAGUGGACUUGGGUGCUUGCUGCUUCCUUGUGGCUCACCUGAAAUGCAUCAGUGCAUCUCUCGAUUGGACAUAGUACGGCGUGAUAAGUGUCUUCGCCGGCACCUCAUAUGAGGGUGGCCGAUCGGGAGCUCUGUGCUUUCAAACCGUCUUCGGACAACGCUGACAACUUGACCUCAAAUCGAGUAGGACUACCCGCUGAACUUAAGCAUAUCAAUAAGCGGGAGGA